GUGCUCGGUUGUCUCGGUUUUGGCCGGUGGAGUCUCAGAGAGGGGGGCCUCGGACCACCGGCGGGCCGUCAGUCCGGCUGCUGGUGACGGAGACGCGGCGUGGAGAGGCUUUACUACGCGGAGAGUAGUCCCUGGUACAAGUGCCAAACCUCCAAAGUCAUCGCUCAUAUAUCACCUGGCUGAUAUCUAUGGUGCUCCUUUAAUUACUCGAUUGAUUCAUUUGACACACAGUUUGACAAAUUUUGACAACCGAUUGGUCAUUAAUCAGGAUUGAGUGGUAUCCCCUCACUGCUUCUGUCUCCAUAAACGUGAGGAUUUGCUUCUUUUCUGUGUUUUAUCUCACCAGGAACUGAGUAUCUUUGGGAUAUGACUUGUUGGUCAGUAAUUUCAAGAUGCCACCUUCUGCUCUCAAGAAUUGUGAUGACAUAUAUUCACUAUUUAUUACAGCUUUAUGACAAAAUAUGACAAAAUAAUUAAAAUUUUCCUUUCAGUUACAUGUUUUGCCUUGUUUUUUGGCUUUAAGAGAAACCAUUCCAUAUAAACAAGGGUUUACAUGUUCUAACCGAUGUAUUUACUGUUGAUUAAUAAAUGAUUUUGUAGUGCUUCA